rnacentral:rRNA from 1 species
GAUGAACGCUGGCGGCGUGCCUAAUACAUGCAAGUCGAGCGAACGGACGAGAAGCUUGCUUCUCUGAUGUUAGCGGCGGACGGGUGAGUAACACGUGGAUAACCUACCUAUAAGACUGGGAUAACUUCGGGAAACCGGAGCUAAUACCGGAUGAUAUUUUGAACCGCAUGGUUCAAAAGUGAAAGAAGGUCUUGCUUUCACUUAUAGAUGGAUCCGCGCUGCAUUAGCUAGUUGGUAAGGUAACGGCUUACCAAGGCAACGAUGCAUAGCCGACCUGAGAGGGUGAUUCGACACACUGGAACUGAGACACGGUCCAGACUCCGACGGGAGGAAGCAGUAGGGAAUCUUCCGCAAUGGGCGAAAGCCUGACGGAGCAACGCCGCGUGAGUGAUGAAGGUCUUCGGAUCGUAAAACUCUGUUAUUAGGGAAGAACAUAUGUGUAAGUAACUGUGCACAUCUUGACGGUACCUAAUCAGAAAGCCACGGCUAACUACGUG